GAUGAACGCUGGCGGCGUGCCUAAUACAUGCAAGUCGAGCGAACAGACGAGGAGCUUGCUCCUCUGACGUUAGCGGCGGACGGGUGAGUAACACGUGGAUAACCUACCUAUAAGACUGGGAUAACUUCGGGAAACCGGAGCUAAUACCGGAUAAUAUAUUGAACCGCAUGGUUCAAUAGUGAAAGACGGUUUUGCUGUCACUUAUAGAUGGAUCCGCGCCGCAUUAGCUAGUUGGUAAGGUAACGGCUUACCAAGGCGACGAUGCGUAGCCGACCUGAGAGGUGGAGCGCCCACGUGGGAACGGGACCCGGGCCCGGCCCCCGACGGAGGGCGGCGGGGGGGAUUUUCCCACAAGGGGCGAAGUCCGAAGGGAGCACCGCGGGGGGAGUGAUAAAGUUUUUGGGAUCUAAAAACUCUUUAAUGAGGAAAAAAAAAAGGUGUAAGAAACAAGGCACGUCUUGGCGGAACCUAAUAAAAAGCCCAGGGCAACCUCCGGC
rnacentral:rRNA from 1 species